GCCCCCGUAGCUCAGCUGGAUAGAGCAAUCCCCUCCUAAGGGAUAGGUCAUAGGUUCGAAUCCUAUCGGGGGCGCCA
rnacentral:tRNA from 4 species